CAGGUAGCAGGUGGGAUGUUUUGGGGUGUUUUCAUUCUUCAUCUGUCUGGAAAAAAAAUGUAGGGCAAUGGUAGUCAAUUGUUCUUCCCCGAGGGCUCGCUCUGUGUGGUUCUGCGGGGUCCCAUCUUGUCUCUUCUUCUAGUAGAAGAAGUGUUCCCAAGGUAGAAAAGAUCAGAAGGUGAGUGCAGAAGGGUUGCAAGGCCUUGAGUGUAAGACAUGGCAUUUGCUUUUCUUCUUUUUCUCCCAAACCAGGUGGUGCCACAGACCCGUGAAUCGGACUGAAGCAUGGGUUAGAGCGAGCUGUCCAAGCCAUGUCCAGGGAGCGACCAGCUAGGUGGUACCGGUAAGGUUCAACACGUGACCGUCGCUUUAUUUUACUGUGCAUUAUUAAAACUCUGCUCUGAAGUGAGUUCUUCGUUUGGGGCCCCUGUACGCAUGCAGGUUUACAGGACUUGUCUUUCUGGCUGUAACACUUGCUGGAACUGAGACUUUCUCAAACCUCCCAGCGAAGCAGUUCAGCGUGUACUAUGGGACAACCUCUGAAUUCCAAUGACUGCAAUGCUGAACUGCCCGGAGGGAUUUCGUCCUCAAAUUUAAGUCAUUCAGGAGACGGUAAAUACAUGCAAGAGUAUUGUCUGCAUGCACUUUCAUUGGAGAGGAAUCCCAUCAAAGCUGCAACUCCUUCUUCCAUAGCACAUCUUGUUGCCUCCACUGCAAAACCUGCUGCGGAAGUGUUUUAAGAAUGGGUGAAGGAUUUGUGACCUAAUAAUGAUGUAGGUAAUUAAUAAACCAGCGUACAACUGCUAAUUGCCAUCUUGCACCAGAAAAACGUACUGUCUUUACGUCUUAACUUCAGAGUAUUCUUGAUGUGAUAUACUGGGGCACGUCAGUUUACUUUCUCCAGAAGCUUGGAAAAAUAGACUGUAAUUUCAUUAGAAAGUUGCACGUGUUGAACAGCCUAUGUAUGUGUUAAUAGCUAGUAUGAAUUUCACUUGUAUUUCAGUCUUGGGAAAAGUUUUAAUUUAGAAGUAAAUAGCUGGAAUGUGUGUAUUAAAGACAUGUCCAAUGUAUAUCACAGACAAUAUUAUUUCCAGUAAAAUGCAGGAUUUUGGCCUGAAUCCAAUUGUGUCAUUUGUUUAGAUUCUUAGGCCUUGUUCAUUGACUUGGCGUGCUUGUUUUUCUUGGUGGUACAUUUUUAACUCAGCCUGAAAGUCCUGUGUGUUCUGGGCUACAAGUAGGGAAAUAACUUUGGCACAAGUGGGUACAACUCAAUAAUUUCAGUGGGGACUGAUUUAUCAGGGUUGAUUUGGUUGUGGGAUUAGGACUCCUGGGUUCCCAUCACUGCUAUUUACUUGUUGGGCCUGAAAAACCAUAGCCACUCAGCCAUCCUUAACCCGUUAUUUUGCAAGGCAUGUACAUGAAAACAUUGUUAGAGUUCAUGAUUUGCAUCGCUGAACAAUCAUAUAAAUGACAGUUUUACUCUCUCAAUAUUAGACAGACUGCUCAAUUAGUCCUUAGGGGCAUGCGAAAGGGGCUGUAUUCAAUUUGGAUUCAGAUUCGGGCUGAAUCAGGGACAGUGAUUUGAUUCGUUGAUUCAGAUUACUGUCCCUGAUUCGAUUCGGCCAGAUCCGAAUCUGAAGAUUCGAUGUUUCGCACAGCCCUAUUAGUCCUCUGUGCACAAAUAUAAAUCUGCUGUCAACUAAUGGGUUUGAUGUGUGCGUGACUCUGCUGACCCUACUUUAGUCAUUUCUGAUACAUGCCAAUGUAAGCACGGGCAGAAUCAGGGCAAAUAUUUAGAAUAUGAAAAGUUUUCUCUUAAUAUUUCCUUCACCAAGCUCUAUAUAGUGAUCCUGUAUUAGUACAUUCCUAGUAUGGCUGCAUUUGGAUUUAAAUUACAGUAGUUCAAUUGUCAACUGUACAAUCAACUCUAACCUAAGUGACAUUUUGUUUUACUUAAUUUUAGUUAGGAUGACUUUUCCCAUUCAACUCUUCCUUGGCCUCAGAGAUGGACUGCUCAAAUAUGGUGUCAGUCAAGUAUACAUCUUCAUUUGAAAAUGAAAGUGAAACACUGGAUUUUUUUUUAUCUAAAGAAAAUAUAGACCAGGUACAGAUGUUCAAAAAGGCUGAGGCAGAAGCGAUCUAAGGUUUGCACUUUACGUGCUGUAGGUUGGGUUAGGAGUAAACAGAAUAGAUAUUGCCCUUUGGUGGAGGGGGUGAUGCAGACUGCCUGUACUAGCCACGGCCAGCAAGUUGAGGGCACUUGCACGCUUCCCAGCCUACCCCACAGGCUUCCCAGGCUGAUGGAGCUUCCUGAGUGCAGCUAAAUGGCUGAGCCACACCAACUGGGUGGUGGGCACAGGCAAGCAUGCCCCGUCCUUCUGCCAUGUUACCGCAGACCCUCCCCUGCACCCAACCCUAGGCUUCCAGGAGAGCCACUGAGCAAAGCACCCGCCAUCAUGAUUUGCAUGUGCCUCCGUGUCCUGGCAUGCCUGCACCUCACCAUUGCAUCCCGCCAAGCAGAGAGACCCAAGGACUACUUUUCCAUCAUCCUGUAGGGCAUCGUUGACCACCGGUACCACUUCACCCACAUCUUUGCUGGCUGGAUGAGCAAUGCCUAUGAUGCCUGCAUCUUCUUCAACUCCCUGGGCUGGUAGAGAGCAGGUGCUACGCUCCCCGCUUUCAUCAUCAGCAAUGCCACCUCAUUGCCAGGGACCUGGCUUACCCCCUCCUGCCCUAGCUGAUGAAGCCCUAUGGGGGCAGCUGAACCAUCAAAAGGAGCAUUUCCACUAUUGCCUGAGCAGGUGCUGCAUGACAGUGGAGUGCACCUUCAGCUGCCUCUAGGCAUGCUGGCAGGCUCUCAGGUGGGUACCUCUGCAACAUCUGUGAGACCAGGGAGAAAGUCUUCCAUGAAGCCUGGGCCAAGGGGGCAGGACACAUAGACUGGACAUGGCAGCAUGAGCAUAUGCAGCACAGGGAUGGGGCGAGGAUGAGCCCUUCACUGCUGUGCCCUGGCACUGAGCCAUGGGUCUCCUGCCCCGGGCUCCUCUGACCCUGUGUCCUGCCCACAACCCAGCUUGUCCAGGCACUGUUCCCCUUUCCCUCACCCCUUGUCCCUCCCCACAAGGCACACACCGGGGUGCAGGGGAAUGCAGUGCAAGGAAUAGUUUAAAAUGUCACAGCUGCCAAACGCUCUGUGUGUUUAAGAAAUAA